CCCAAGAGAUCGGGAUAACACCUGGAAACAGAUGCUAAUACCGGAUAACAACAGAUGAUGCCUAUCAACUGUUUAAAAGAUGGUUCUGCUAUCACUCUUGGAUGGACCUGCGGUGCAUUAGCUAGUUGGUAGGGUAACGGCCUACCAAGGCGAUGAUGCAUAGCCGAGUUGAGAGACUGAUCGGCCACAUUGGGACUGAGACAUGGCCCAAACUCCUACGGGAGGCAGCAGAU
rnacentral:rRNA from 1 species